GCCCGGCGCCGCGACGCGAGGAGCGGAGGCUGCUGCUCGGUCCAGCUGUCAUGCCCGCGCCAGCGCGGCGCACCCGCUGCCUGGGGAGCAGCACCACUUCCACCGAGAGGGACCGACGGAUGAGGAAGAGAGAAAAGGGAGCCGGGACCCUGCAGAAAGUCUGCGUCUUCCUCUGUUCCCCAUGUGAUCACACCCUGAGGGAUGAUGCAGGAAGACCUGCAAUGUUCCGCACUCCUGUGACUCUGGUGGGUACAAUGACCUCAUCUGGGAAUUCAGUAUCACAGAGGCCGUUGGCCUGCUCCUCUAAUCCACAUUUUCCAGCAUCAGACUGACCAGUAAUAAAACAAUGUUUCAGUCUA